CCUACGGGCGGCAGCAGUGGGGAAUAUUGCACAAUGGGGGAAACCCUGAUGCAGCGACGCCGCGUGAGUGAAGAAGUACUUCGUUAUGUAAAGCUCUAUCAGCAGGGAAGAAAAUGACGGUACCUGAGUAAGAAGCCCCGGCUAACUACGUGCCAGCAGCCGCGGUAAUACGUAGGGGGCAAGCGUUCUCCGGAUUGACUGGGUGUAAAGGGAGCGUAGACGGCAGUGCAAGUCUGGAGUGAAAGGCGGGGGCUCAACCCACGGAUGGCUCUGGAAACUGGACGGCUGGAGUGCAGGAGAGGUGAGUGGAAUUCCUAGUGGAGCGGUGAAAUGCGUAGAUAGUAGGAGGAAAACCAGUGGCGAAGGCGGCUUACUGGACUGUAACUGACGUUGAGGCUCGAAAGCGUGGGGAGCAAACAGGAUUAGAUACCCUGGUAGUC
rnacentral:rRNA from 1 species